rnacentral:rRNA from 1 species
GAGUUUGAUUCCUGGCUCAGGACGAACGCUGGCGGCGUGCCUAAUACAUGCAAGUCGAGCGGACAGAAGGGAGCUUGCUCCCGGUAUGUUAGCGGCGGACGGGUGAGAACACGUGGGUAACCUGCCUGUAAGACUGGGAUAACUCCGGGAAACCGGAGCUAAUACCGGAUAGUUCCUUGAACCGCAUGGUUCAAGGAUGAAAGACGGUUUCGGCUGUCACUUACAGAUGGACCCGCGGCGCAUUANCUAGUUGGUGAGGUAACGGCUCACCAAGGCGACGAUGCGUAGCCGACCUGAGAGGGUGAUCGGCCACACUGGGACUGAGACACGGCCCAGACUCCUACGGGAGGCAGCAGUAGGGAAUCUUCCGCAAUGGACGAAAGUCUGACGGAGCAACGCCGCGUGAGUGAUGAAGGUUUUCGGAUCGUAAAGCUCUGUUGUUAGGGAAGAACAAGUGCAAGAGUAACUGCUUGCACCUUGACGGUACCUAACCAGAAAGCCACGGCUAACUACGUGCCAGCAGCCGCGGUAAUAC